AACGCACAUUGCGCCCUCUGGUAUUCCGGGGGGCAUGCCUGUUCGAGCGUCAUUAUCACCCCUCAAGCCCGGCUUGUUGUUGGAUGUCGGCGGCGGCCUUUAGUGGCGUACCGCCCGUCUCAAAGAUAAUGACGGCGUCUGUGAGGACACCUGUACACUGAGCUUUCGGGCACGUACUAGGUUGAUACUCGCAGACCCGGUCUAUCGGGUUCGCCUCGGCGACCCAACUUUUUACCAAGGUUGACCUCGGAUCAGGUAGGAAUACCCGCUGAACUUAA
rnacentral:misc_RNA from 1 species